rnacentral:hammerhead_ribozyme from 1 species
AUCCAGCUGAUGAGUCUCAAAUAGGACAAAAUGCACAUUCUGGAU